rnacentral:tRNA from 1 species
GGUUAUGGCUCAGGGGUAAAGUGCUUGCCUCACAUGUGCAAGGCCCUGGGUUCGAUCCUCAGCACCA